ensembl:lncRNA
GACCUCUUUGCAGAACAGGUUUCUGGAGCACAUGUGGCCUCGUAGGCUUAUUUCAUGGAUGAGCAGUGAAUGAGGAUCUUCUGAGAUCAGAAAACUCUGAAUGACAGAAUGAAAGGGAUUGUUCUAUAGUGUCAAUUGGGUUCUUAGUUGCAGAUGCAAUAAUUUAAACAGAAAAGGAUUUAUUAAUGGGUGUUGGGUAGCCAUUAGCAUUCCAGGAGGGGCUUAAGAGCCAAGCUUGGAUGUCAGCAUGGUUACCCAACCACACCAUGGCAUAAUAGGGUGGAGACUACACUGCUGCUGGAGAUAGGAGGAUCUUCGUCUGAACUGCUGCAGAAGAGUUACUGUCCUUGCACAUGGCAGAUACUGCCUAUCUAUCUCUUCCUCCUUCCAAGCCUCACGCAAGUGUGUCUGCUUGGUCCCUAGAGCACCCUGUAGUCACUUCUGGGUCUCCUACAGAAGGAUAAGAAAUGCAAAUAUGAAGUUGGAAUGGUGCCGGGAGAGCCCAUAUCUGCUGUAGCCACACAUGUUUGUUCUCUUCUGAUUUCGCCCAGAAGAUAAAUCAGUCCCUUUCCUUUGAGGCAAGAGGAUGGAAGUGUUGCUGCCCACUUUUCCCCUCUGAGGAGUGGGGUGGAAGCUCUUCCAUGCUUGGUGGUCGGGAACCAAUAAAUAUUUGCUAAAGGAAUGAAGGAAUGAAUGGAUCCAGGGCUGCAGCAGUGGCAGAGAGGCAAACAAGCACGAGCUCCAGGAGAAGGCUCCUGAUGGGCUACUUGCUGGAGGAAAACAAAGA